UACUCGAGUGGCGAACGGGUGAGUAACACGUGGGUGAUCUGCCCUGCACUUCGGGAUAAGCUUGGGAAACUGGGUCUAAUACCGGAUAGGAACCAUCUUUAGUGUGGUGGUUGGAAAGUUUUUUCGGUGUAGGAUGAGCUCGCGGCCUAUCAGCUUGUCGGUGGGGUAAUGGCCUACCAAGGCGGCGACGGGUAGCCGGCCUGAGAGGGUGUACGGCCACAUUGGGACUGAGAUACGGCCCAG
rnacentral:rRNA from 1 species